UACGUAGGGGGCUAGCGUUGUCCGGAUUUAUUGGGCGUAAAGAGCGUGUAGGCGGCCAGGUAGGUCUGCUGUGAAAACUCGAGGCUCAACCUCGAGACGUCGGCGGAAACUAUCUGGCUAGAGUCCGGAAGAGGAGAGUGGAAUUCCUGGUGUAGCGGUGAAAUGCGCAGAUAUCAGGAGGAACACCGGUGGCGAAGGCGGAUCUCAGGGCCUUACCUGACGCUCAGGUGCGAAAGCUAGGGGAGCGAACAGG
rnacentral:rRNA from 1 species